AGAGUUGAUCCUGGCUUAGGAUGAACGCUGGCGGCGUGCUUAACACAUGCAAGUCGAACGAAGCAUUCCAACUCUCGGAGGAAGAAAUGACUGAGUGGCGGACGGGUGAGGUAACGCGUGGGUAACCUGCCUUAUACAGGGGGAUAACAGUUAGAAAUGACUGCUAAUACCGCAUAACCCGCUAGUACCGCAUGGUACAGACGGAAAAGAUUUAUCGGUAUAAGAUGGACCCGCGUCUGAUUAGCUAGUUGGUGAGGUAAUGGCUCACCAAGGCGACGAUCAGUAGCCGGCUUGAGGGAGUGAACGGCCACAUUGGGACUGAGACACGGCCCAAACUCCUACGGGAGGCAGCAGUGGGGAAUAUUGCACAAUGGGGGAAACCCUGAUGCAGCAACGCCGCGUGAAGGAAGAAGUAUUUCGGUAUGUAAACUUCUAUCAGCAGGAAAGAAAAUGACGGUACCUGACUAAGAAGCCCCGGCUAACUACGUGCCAGCAGCCGC
rnacentral:rRNA from 1 species